GGGUCUGCGGCCUAUCAGGUAGUAGUGGGUGUAACGUACCUACUAGCCUACGACGGGUACGGGUUGUGAGAGCAAGAGCCCGGAGAUGGAUUCUGAGACACGAAUCCAGGCCCUACGGGGUGCAGCAGGCGCGAAAACUUUACAAUGCGGGAAACCGUGAUAAGGGGACACCGAGUGCCAGCAUCAUAUGCUGGCUGUCCGGAUGUGUAAAAUACAUCCGUUAGCAAGGGCCGGGCAAGACCGGUGCCAGCCGCCGCGGUAACACCGGCGGCCUGAGUGGUAACCGCUAUUAUUGGGUCUAAAGGGUCUGUAGCCGGCCAGGUAAGUCCCUUGGGAAAUCUGGCAGCUCAACUGUCAGGCUGCUAGGGGAUACUGCUGGGCUUGGGACCGGGAGAGGUGAGAGGUACCUUGGGGGUAGGGGUGAAAUCUUGUGAUCCUCGGGGGACCACCAGUGGCGAAGGCGUCUCACCAGAACGGGUCCGACGGUAAGGGACGAAAGCUAGGGGCACGAACCGGAUUAGAUACCCGGGUAGUCCUAGCCGUAAACGAUGCUCGCUAGGUGUCAGUCACGGUGCGACCGUGAUUGGUGCCGUAGGGAAGCCGUGAAGCGAGCCACCUGGGAAGUAUGGCCGCAAGGCUGAAACUUAA
rnacentral:rRNA from 1 species